rnacentral:rRNA from 1 species
GUUAGGAAUCUUGCACAAUGGGCGAAAGCCUGAUGCAGCGACGCCGCGUGGGUGAUGAAGACCUUCGGGUCGUAAAACCCUUUUCUGGGGGAAGAGGAAGGACGGUACCCCAGGAAUAAGUCUCGGCUAACUACGUGCCAGCAGCCGCGGUAAAACGUAGGAGGCAAGCGUUAUCCGGAUUUACUGGGCGUAAAGCGCACGCAGGUGGCCUUGCAAGUCGGGUGUGAAAUCUCCUGGCUCAACUGGGAGGGGUCGCUCGAUACUGCAAGGCUUGAGGGCGGGAGAGGGAAGCGGAAUUCCCGGUGUAGCGGUGGAAUGCGCAGAUAUCGGGAGGAACACCAGUGGCGAAAGCGGCUUCCUGGCCCGUUCCUGACACUCAGGUGCGAAAGCGUGGGGAGCGAACGGGAUUAGAUACCCGUGUAGUCC